rnacentral:rRNA from 1 species
UACGUAGGUUGCAAGCGUUGUCCGGAAUUAUUGGGCGUAAAGCGCGCGCAGGCGGUUAUGUAAGUCUGAUGUUUAAGCCCGGGGCUCAACCUCGGUUCGCAUUGGAAACUGUGUAACUUGAGUGCAGAAGAGGAAAGCUGUUUUCCACGUGUAGCGGUGAAAUGCGUAGAUAUGUGGAGGAACACCAGUGGCGAAGGCGACUUUCUGGUCUGUAACUGACGCUGGGGCGCGAAAGCGUGGGGAGCAAACAGG